AAGGGGUCCAACUUUUACUCUAAAAUUCUAAAGGUUGAAAGAUUCUCACUUAAAAAUGCCUCGGAUUGAAAGAACAUUUAGGGUUGGACCUCUUGAAAAGAAAAAUUCUACCGUUGACUUUAAAAAAAUUAUCCAUUUUGCAAGGUCAACAAUUUGAUGUAGUCUAUUGAAAUACUCACCAAAUCACGAGAAGAAAACACGCUUGGAACAAGAAAAGAUUGGGAAUAUGAGUGGAAGCUAAUCAAACAACAAUGAGAAGACGAUGAGAAGUGGUAGGACAGUCCUGCCAUCUCAGCUGAGAGGAACGUUUGGAGGAGAAGAAAUCGAAGGCCAAAAAUGGUAGCCAGGCUAACUCAAAAGGUAGUUGACAUGAUGACCAAUUUGCAACGUAUUAAUGAUGAAGAUGAUAUAAUGAAACAGUUCUUGAUGCACCAAGGCCAUGCAAUUCCGAGAUGAUGUAGGCAGGAGAAUAGCCGAGGACUCGUAAAGAAGCAGCCCACCUCUCAUAACUACCCCUCAACAGUCGUUACCAAGAAUACUUGUCCAUAUAGAGGAGCAUUCUCGUUUAUAUAAUGACUUUGCUCGGCAUCAUUUGAACUCGAAAGAUUCACAGAGGAAGAAAUGAGUGUUGACUGGUGAGUAAUCACAUCAAUUUUCAGUAAACAGUGACAGUAUCAAUUAACAUAUAACUAUGGUAAAUAGAGUAACAUCAAAGGAUCCUAACAAUCCUAGGGUUGAUAAGAAUUGUAAACUUUAUACAACAUGUUAUUUGCUAAUAGGUUCAUGGAGAGAAAGGUAAAAGGCAACAGUAACAGCACUCACAAAAGAAGAUGUGACCAUGGAUCCCAAAAAUUUCAGAUCCGCAAAAGAUUCAAUUAUCAAGUCCGGAAUCAAUCUAUAAAAGAAGAGCCUUGGCCGAUGGAAGGCAUCCCCCAACCUUCAGUUUUCUCUUUCAUUUGGUAAUCUUACAACCACUGCUGAAGAUUCAACUGUAAGUCUGAGACAUGUGUUCUACGAUUAAUUCUACGUUUUAAUGUUUUUAUGUACAAAUGUUGAAGAAAAUCUUUGGUUUAGACAGGGCUUCGUCCUCCCCAGAAGCAUUCUCCCGUGUCAGUAAAAAUGAAGUAUACGAAACACAUAGCUUCAGCCUUAAAUCUAGAAGGGAUAUAAAAACUCUCGAAAAAACAGUUUCUCUUAAAGUGGAAGAUAAGGCCCUUAGACUACUCGAUCGUGAUGUUGUAGCCAAGUUGAAGGAUAAAUAUAAAUACAUUCACAUAGGGCUAGUUCAGAUUGCAUUAUAUCCCUUAACCAGGCUAGGUUUAAACACCUCUAUUCUGGUAGCUUUAAGAGACUGCCGGCAUCUUAAUUUUAAUAACUCACUAAAGGGUCUUGUAGAGACUAGUUUAUGUGAAGGACCAGUUUAUUUUAACUGUUAUCCAAAUAUUUCUGUUUUCCUUACAGAUCCAGGCAUUUUAGACGCUUUAAUUUUAAACAUCGAAUCAAAAGGGUACGAUAUGGUGGCCUCAAGUAGACAUAUAGCCAUAACCUAUAGAGUUUGCUACAAGGUCAUGAAUACCAUUAAUCCUAAAGCCAAAAGAGUUAGUAAAAGAGGGACUUCCACUGUGAUUGAAACCAAUUCAAAAUCUAAUGUUACUCAAGUUAGGGCCAUUUCUUGGAAGGAUAUUAGCCUCCCAGAAAAAUGGACCCAACGAGGAGUAGCAGAACCGUCUCAGGAAGUUGAACGCACAAAUCAAACCCAUGAAGGAGGCGUUGAUCACUUACUUGAUGGUUUGAAAGCUCGAUGGAAUAUUUCAGAAUGACUGAUUCAUGAAAUCCAUGAAAGUGCCUUUUAAUGAAGGUCACCAAGACAAUCCGAAAGGAAAAUUUACAAAGAAAGAAUUCAAAAAUUCUUCAAGCAAUGUCAAAUAUUCUUGACGAAACUGAAGAUCAAUCAACGAAAUCAACUAUGAAUUCCUCAAAAGGAAAAGAAAAGGUCUCUUGAAUAGAGCAAGAUGAUGAUAUAGGUUACGAGGGUUAUACUCCAACAAAUGAAGAGUACUUAGGGAUGACAUUCCUUUAUGAAGAUUCCCUGGACAAAGAAAAUAAACAACCACCUUUUCAGAGAAACAGAUGGCUUUUCAAAAAGGCCUUAAAGGCAACAGUAACCACACUCACUAAAGAAGACGUGACUGUGGAUUUCAACAAUUUCAAAUUUGCAACUAAUUCUAUUGGGAACUUAUUUGAAGUUCGGAAUCCAUCUGCAAAAUGAGGGGCCUUAGCUGGUUGAAGGCAUUUCAAAAUUCAGAUUUUCUUUACAUUUUGUAAUUUUAUUACUCUGUAGUUUUACCGCUACUGCUGUCUGCUGAAGAUCCAAAGUCAUUCUGGAUUUCGGUAAGUCUUAUUUAGACUUCUAUUGUAUGUUGUAUGUUUAACUCUACUGUUUAAUAUUUUAAAUCUAUGUAAAAUAAUGUUGAGCUAGUAUAAAGUUUCUGUUUUGCGUUUAACUAACUACUAUUUCGUAGCACUUGGA
rnacentral:lncRNA from 1 species